ensembl:lncRNA
AGAUGAGCCUUUGCUUCCUGUCUCUCACCUUGUAAGGAUGCUAGAAGUCAGCGGUCUGCAAACCGGAAACCCAGAAGAGGAUUCUCACCGAACUCUAUAGUGCUGGCACCCUGAUUUUGGACUUCCCAUCCUCCAGAACUGUAAGAAUUUAGACAUCAGAAUUUCCUGUGUCAUUGCAACACUGAGAUCACAAAGAAGAAAACAAGCAUAAAAGAAAAUUUUCGUAAUUAUCAACAUGAAAUAAUUAUGCCAGAUGUGAAUCCUGUUUCCUUGUAUUAUGAGAACAUACUUGGUCAUCUCCUUUCCAUGGCAAUACAAAGAGGAAGAAAAUGUGCCCAACUGUGAACAAUACAAAGUAAGAAUGAAGAAUUAAGCAGUUAAAAAUGAUUAGCUCCCUACACUCAACAGCCUCUCUAAGCAAUCCUGCAGCCAGAUUAUCCAGGAACAGCUCCUGGAAAUGGAAUUACUGGGUCAGGUGUACAGCUACCAUAAAGGCGCACCACAUAUAAUAAAAAGUUACUUUCUAAAUGUAUUGAUAUUUAUGGUACUUUGAAAUUGAAAUGGUAUGCACUCCAAAGAAAAAAGCAUGAUACAAUGUUUCCUAAAAUAUCAGAUGCAGGAGAGGGAUAAAGGGAAUGUUCUAGAGGGAAAGUCAGUGGUUCCCAUCAGUCCAUGUCACAGGGACAUGAGUGCAGGGGAAUCUCAGAGCCUGCCAUUGGAUGGAAAGACAGGAGAAUGGUGCUUUUUUACCCAGUUUUGAGGUCUUGAGCUUUCUUCAUAUGUCUCUUGACAUUUACACAAAUCAUUACACAUAUGCGUUGAGUCUUUCCUGGCUCCUUACAGUAAUUAGAGUGCCUGUAAUUUUCCUCUUAUUUUUUCUCCCAUGCAUUAUUUUGAAAUUUUAUAUUGCUUCUUGGUCAAUGCUAUUGUAAUGUGAAUCCUUUCUAAAUCGUAUAGAAUAAUUUCACUUGCUGAAAAAAAAAUGCAAAAGGAAUUUAAGGUUUUAGAAAGAGAUUAUCUGUGUACGACAAUUAUACAUGGUAAAUGUACAAAUUUAGCAUGAAAAGGUACUUUCUAUACUCAAAUUGCCCUUCAUUUCAUUUAAGUAUUUCUGUUAUCCACCCUUGAAUAGCAUUUAGUGAUUUAAAGUUGAUGCAGACCUUUUGUAUUGCAUAUACAUAAAAAGGAGGCCCAUUAGAAAUAAUGCUUUGUUCAAGUGAUGUUUUUUCUCCAGUACUACACCAUUUAUUUGAACCUGUCCUCCUAGUAAAAUACUUUCACCUGGAAAAUUAAAAAAAAAAAGAUCACUGAAUCCAAACCUCCACAUGCUUCUCCUUCAUUUUAUCAUUCUUUAAUAAAUUAUCCAGACUGUAGCCAGAGUAAUAUUUUUAAAUAUUAUAUUUAAGAAUGUGGUCCUUCUGAUUAAAAGAUUUCUGGGGCUUUACAAUACAUAGACAAAGGACAGACAUGUUAAUGUGAUUUAAAAGCCCUGAAAAUCAGGACUUUUCCUAUUAUCCAAGCUUCUUUUCUCUUUAAUUAUCCUUUAGCCCUACCUACACAACCCCCUCUACCGUCAUGGCAUAAUACAUAUUACAUACUAUUUUCCAUCCAGACACAUUAUCCAUUCUUGUGAGACACUGCUUUUCUAACUUUCUCAAAUAAUUUGUUUAGAGAGUGUAGUGUUCUACAAGUUAUUUAUGUCGAAACUGCUCACCUCUUUAUAUGGCUAAAUCCUCAACUUUUGGAUUUAGUUUAGAUGCCAGUACCAUAAGGUAUAAUAAAUUGAUCCUACAUUUUUUGCAUAAAACACUUCCCUAUGAAGUCAUAACUCUGUAUUUAUUUCAUCAUGUAAUGAUCACACUAUAUUGAAAUUGCACAGUAUAUAAACCCUUAGACUGAAGUCUAUUGACGGUAAAACCGAGCAGGGCCCCAUGGGGCUCCUGGGCACAAGAGCCUUUCUGUGUACCCCAUUUCUUAUUUUUAGGAAAUGGGACUCACUCAGCCUCCAUGGCCUUCCCUAAGUUCCAAGGGGCAAGUUCAGACAGUUGCUGAUCAGGGAAGAGAGGGGAUGCAGAGACCAAGGAGGAAGAGCCUUGGGGCAGGAUCCUGGUUCCCCCUCAAGGGAUAUACAUAAUGAUGCAGGCAUUUUAUAUACCUAAGAGAAAAGUUAUAUUCCUUAUGCUUCUUUUAGAAAUGAAUACUUUAAAAUUGAAUAGCUUAGAGUCCUUCCUUGUCCUUCUUCCUGGCUUCACUGCACCCUAAACUCAAUCAUCCAUAAGAUAGAUUAGGCAGCCUGAGCGUAAUUGCCUGUGGGUUAAAGAGUAUUAGCACAUGAUGUUUUUCAGAAACUUUCCUAGUUUGUUCUAAUCUCUGAUCAAUAUGCACUUUCUGCAAGUACUGUUACUCUAGGCAAUAACCCAGAAGAUCACCACCGUGAUCAUGCCAAGAUCUGACACUAGCUUCGAUGACUAAGAUUCUCCCUGCAAAAGAGUAAUGCAUGUUUGCCUCAAUCCUGAUUCCUAUCUGAAAACCUUUUUUUCUCCUUUUUAUUAUAAAACUCCCAGCCAUUCUUCCCAAUGUAAGGCACAGUCUUUAAGACAUGAACCUGCUGUGGCGUCCUUUGCCUGGCAAAGCAAUAAAAGCUAUCUUUUUCUCUUUCAUUCAAAACUCUAUCUCUACAUUUCUAUUUGGCACUAGUGGACAGAGGCCAAGUUUCUGCAACAAUGGCAGAGGUAGCAUCUAUAAUUAUUUACUAGUCUAUCCAGUGUGCUAACACUGUUUGGCAUGUAUUACACUCUAUACAAGUAUUUGUUUAAUGGACAAAUGAAGCAAUGAGAACAUGAAGAGCUUAGACCUUUUAACUUGGAAUUUAUAAGACUAAAGUGUUGAGAUUUGCAAAUUCAAAUUACCACAUGACCAAAAAAUGUAUUACUCAUUUUACUACACAGUUGACACUGACAUAAGAUGUUAAGGAGUAGAAUUUGGAUACAUUUUUUGAAAAAUUCUUUCUUACAGAGACAAUGAUGAAAACCCUUAGUUUCCGCAUAGAGAAUUGAUUCUAUUCUUCUAUUCUUAUGUUUGUUCCAACCGUUUCUUUUUUUCUUUUUAGGGCCACACCUAUGGCAUAUGGAGGCUCGGAGCUUAGGGACUGAAUCAGAGCUGUAACCACCCACUGGCACAUGACACAGCCACAGAAAUGCCAAAUCCAAGCCACGUCUCUGACCUACACCACAGCUCACAGCAACACCAGAUGCUUAACCCACUAAGCGAGGCCAGGGAUCAAACCUGCAUCCUUAUGGAUACUAGUCAGAUUUGUUUCCUCUGAGCCAUGACAGGAACUCCUGUUCCUGCUUAUCCUUGAUUUCUCUGUAUUCACAGGUCUUUUGUGAGAUGAAAAUGGACAUCAGGUUGGGCAGCAACAUGGAGACUGUUCCUCUUACUGUUUCAAAAGUUGAGGUUUUUUUAUUUGCCCACUUUUGGAAUGGUUUUCAAUAGCAAUGCAGCAGAAUAGUAAAACUUAUUGAAAGUAUUUCCUGGCCAGCUACUGUUG